rnacentral:rRNA from 1 species
GGGAAAUCUGCCCUGCACUCUGGGACAAGCCUUGGAAACGAGGUCUAAUACCGGAUAUGACCUUCCUCUGCAUGGGGGUUGGUGGAAAGCUCCGGCGGUGCAGGAUGAUCCCGCGGCCUAUCAGCUUGUUGGUGGGGUAAUGGCCUACCAAGGCGACGACGGGUAGCCGGCCUGAGAGGGCGACCGGCCACACUGGGACUGAGACACGGCCCAGACUCCUACGGGAGGCAGCAGUGGGGAAUAUUGCACAAUGGGCGAAAGCCUGAUGCAGCGACGCCGCGUGAGGGAUGACGGCCUUCGGGUUGUAAACCUCUUUCAGCAGGGAAGAAGCGCAAGUGACGGUACCUGCAGAAGAAGCACCGGCUAACUACGUGCCAGCAGCCGCGGUAAUACGUAGGGUGCGAGCGUUGUCCGGAAUUAUUGGGCGUAAAAGAGCUCGUAAGGCGGCUUGUCACGUCGGGGUGUGAAAGCCCCGGGGCUUAACCCCCGGGUCUGCAUUUCGAUACGGGCCGGCCUUGGAGUGUGGGUAGGGGGAGAUCCGGAAAUUCCCUGGGUGUAGCCGGUGAAAAUGCGCAAAAUUAUCAGGGAGGGAAACACCCGG